CACGUAGGGUGCGAGCGUUGUCCGGAAUUAUUGGGCGUAAAGAGCUCGUAGGCGGUGUGUCGCGUCGGCCGUGAAAACCUGCAGCUUAACUGUGGGCGUGCGGUCGAUACGGGCAUCACUGGAGUUCGGCAGGGGAGACUGGAAUUCCUGGUGUAGCGGUGAAAUGCGCAGAUAUCAGGAGGAACACCGGUGGCGAAGGCGGAUCUCUGGGCCUUGCCUGACGCUGAGGCGCGAAAGCUAGGGGAGCGAACAGG
rnacentral:rRNA from 1 species